UACGGAGGGUGCAAGCGUUGCUCGGAAUUAUUGGGCGUAAAGCGUCCGCAGGUGGCGAUUCAAGUCUGCGGUUAAAGACUGGGGCUUAACCCUGGAAAGGCCGUGGAAACUGAAACGCUAGAGUGCAGUAGGGGUAGAGGGAAUUCCCGGUGUAGCGGUGAAAUGCGUAGAGCUCGGGAAGAACAUCGGUGGCGAAAGCGCUCUGCUGGACUGCAACUGACACUCAGGGACGAAAGCUAGGGGAGCGAAUGGG
rnacentral:rRNA from 1 species